GAUGAACGCUGGCGGCGUGCCUAAUACAUGCAAGUCGAGCGAACGGACGAGAAGCUUGCUUCUCUGAUGUUAGCGGCGGACGGGUGAGUAACACGUGGAUAACCUACCUAUAAGACUGGGAUAACUUCGGGAAACCGUAGCUAAUACCGGAUAAUAUUUUGAACCGCAUGGUUCAAAAGUGAAAGACGGUCUUGCUUUCACUUAUAGAUGUAUCCGCGCUGCAUUAGCUAGUUGGUAAGGUAACGGCUUACCAAGGCAACGAUGCAUAGCCGACCUGAGAGGGUGAUCGGCCACCCUGGAACUGAGAACGGGUCCAGGGUCCUACGGGAGGCAGCAGUAGGGAAUCUUCAGCAAUGGGCGAAAGCCUGACGGAGCAACGCCGCGUGAGUGAUGAAGGACUUCGGAUCGUAAAACUCUGUUAUUAGGGAAGAAAAUAUGUGUAAGUAACUGUGCACAUCUUGACGGUACCUAAUCAGAAAGCCACGGCUAACUACGUG
rnacentral:rRNA from 1 species